rnacentral:rRNA from 1 species
UACGUAGGGUGCAAGCGUUAAUCGGAAUACUGGGCGUAAAGCGUGCGCAGGCGGCUUUGCAAGACAGAUGUGAAAUCCCCGGGCUCAACCUGGGAACUGCAUUUGUGACUGCAAGGCUGGAGUACGGUAGAGGGGGAUGGAAUUCCGCGUGUAGCAGUGAAAUGCGUAGAGAUGUGGCGGAACACCGAUGGCGAAGGCAGCCCCCUGGGUCAAGAUUGACGCUCAGGCACGAAAGCGUGGGGAGCAAACAGG